rnacentral:lncRNA from 1 species
AUCCUGUCAGCAGGAUGAGGGAAUCUGAAAAGGAAAUAAUGUAGAGGGCCAGAGUGAGAAGAGCAGCAGCCAGGCCAAGCAGUUUACAGGAAAGGCAAUGGACAAAUACACACCCAGAUCUCACUCUCCUUCUUCCAGUCUCCUGGAAUCACAUUCUGUACUGGCCAGAUCCCUUGGAAGCCAGAGGAGUCCCGAAAAGUCAGCUUUCUAUGAUAGAGGAAAGGAUGGAGCUGUUUUUUGAGACAGCCCAGACUGGUUUUGAACCUACUAUGUUGCCCAGGCUGGCCUUAAACUCAUGAUCCUUCUGCCUCAAGUCCCGGAAUUAAAGGUUGAGCCUCUGAAGAUGUGACCAGAAUCACCAUAUCAGGAGUUCCUGUGUCCCAGGCCUGACUUCGCUGCCAACUGGAGAACAAAGUCUUGAAGCUGAUUAACCUGUUCAU